GGAAGUCGGCCAAAUGAAUCUGGGGCUUAGGGAAUUAAAUCAAAUCUGACGUUGGGCGAUCAGCGAUUAUCUCUCGUUUCAGGAUUUUACUGGCGCUUAUGGGGGGUUCAGAGUAAUAUUCCGAUGGGAGUUCAUGAUUCUUGGCCAAAAGCUACCUAGGUACCUACCUCGAAGACACGACGAGUUCUUCCUCGGUGAGAGUCUGGUUGUGAUGACAACUUCAACUGGGUAGAGGUACUUACCUGGAAGGCAAACAGUUCGGAGGUUCAAACUUCAAAAGAACCAUGCGGGCCCACCCUCAAAGCCCCAAAAGUCCAGAACACCGCCCACACCACACCCAGGAAAGAAGAGCUUGGCAUCUUGAAAUCUGCCUUUAGUUGCGUUUCACCUUUCAUGACACACAUUUCGGCUUUGCACCCACCCGCCCACCACACCGAGCCGCUGGCUCGAAAGAUCAGCAAGGAUCGCCAUUAAGCCGCUGUUUCGAAUCGAGAGCGGGUACAGAUGAUAGAAUGAAACGAUUAUUUGCAUGAUAAACGCGGCUACACACGUGCUGUGCACAUGCUGUUUUUCCAACAGCAGCGACAAAGAAACAACCAAACACGCCCCGAGAGGCAAAAGGGAAAUUUGGGAGGCCUCAAACCAGAUCCAAAAUGAACGGAUUCCCCUGAAGAUCUUGAUCGCUGGUGAUCCAGUGAUCCGGAGAAAUAGCCCUACCCGUCCCCCUUUCCAGAGC